rnacentral:lncRNA from 11 species
GGUUCACAUGGAAAGAGAUAACCUUCUAGACACUGCAGCUGAAAACCAUUUGAGGCUUUGUAGCAGGAAGCAUUGUCCUUUCCUGGCAGGAGAGAACUUCAAGACCAUGAUUCACCUUCUGUCACCUUCAUGCUGUCCUGCUGCAAUGUCCUUCAUUUGGUGUUGACUGCAAAUCCACAUGGAGAUAACAACUCAUCCAUCAUGCAGCAGCUGAUUUCUUAAAUGGGUCACCUCAAACAGAGCAG